rnacentral:rRNA from 1 species
ACAAUGAAGAGUUUGAUCCUGGCUCAGGAUGAACGCUAGCUACAGGCUUAACACAUGCAAGUCGAGGGGCAUCAGGAAGAAAGCUUGCUUUCUUUGCUGGCGACCGGCGCACGGGUGAGUAACACGUAUCCAACCUGCCCUUUACUCGGGGAUAGCCUUUCGAAAGAAAGAUUAAUACCCGAUAGCAUAAUGAUUCCGCAUGGUUUCAUUAUUAAAGGAUUCCGGUAAAGGAUGGGGAUGCGUUCCAUUAGGUUGUUGGUGAGGUAACGGCCCACCAAGCCUUCGAUGGAUAGGGGUUCUGAGAGGAAGGUCCCCCACAUUGGAACUGAGACACGGUCCAAACUCCUACGGGAGGCAGCAGUGAGGAAUAUUGGU